rnacentral:rRNA from 1 species
UAAUACAUGCAAGUCGAACGCUUUUUCUUUCACCGGAGCUUGCUCCACCGAAAGAAAAAGAGUGGCGAACGGGUGAGUAACACGUGGGUAACCUGCCCAUCAGAAGGGGAUAACACUUGGAAACAGGUGCUAAUACCGUAUAACACUAUUUUCCGCAUGGAAGAAAGUUGAAAGGCGCUUUUGCGUCACUGAUGGAUGGACCCGCGGUGCAUUAGCUAGUUGGUGAGGUAACGGCUCACCAAGGCAACGAUGCAUAGCCGACCUGAGAGGGUGAUCGGCCACACUGGGACUGAGACACGGCCCAGACUCCUACGGGAGGCAGCAGUAGGGAAUCUUCGGCAAUGGACGAAAGUCUGACCGAGCAACGCCGCGUGAGUGAAGAAGGUUUUCGGAUCGUAAAACUCUGUUGUUAGAGAAGAACAAGGAUGAGAGUAGAACGUUCAUCCCUUGACGGUAUCUAACCAGAAAGCCACGGCUAACUACGUGCCAGCAGCCGCGGUAAUACGUAGGUGGCAAGCGUUGUCCGGAUUUAUUGGGCGUAAAGCGAGCGCAGGCGGUUUCUUAAGUCUGAUGUGAAAGCCCCCGGCUCAACCGGGGAGGGUCAUUGGAAACUGGGAGACUUGAGUGCAGAAGAGGAGAGUGGAAUUCCAUGUGUAGCGGUGAAAUGCGUAGAUAUAUGGAGGAACACCAGUGGCGAAGGCGGCUCUCUGGUCUGUAACUGACGCUGAGGCUCGAAAGC